rnacentral:lncRNA from 1 species
GGAACAGCACAACGACAAAAUUGAUUGCUUCCUAUAUUUUUCUCCAACUUCCUCUCUCUACCCACUUCAGAAUUGUUGGGAAAUGAAUGGUGCGGUGAAUGCCCGCAUCCCUCUUGCCUUGAAUGCCACAUUAACUGCAAGCCUUGCUGGUGUGACAAUGAUUGCCCUGGCAAAGAGAUGUGUUGCAACACCAAAGAUGACAAGAGGAUCUGUGUAGUUCCAAAACAUGAUCCGUGUUGCGAUGAGAAGUGCGGUGAAUGCCCGGAUCCCUCUUGCCUCGAAUGCCAUCCCAACUCCAAGACUUGCAAGUGUGACUGUGACUGCUGUGAUAAAGAGAAAUGUUGCUGCACCAAAGAUAACAAGAGGAUCUGUGUAGAACCCAAACACGAACAUUGUUGCGAUGAGAAGUGCGGUGAAUGCCCGGAUCCUUCUUGCCUUGAAUGUGAUCACCACUCCAAGACUUGCAAGUGUGACUGUGACUGCUGUGAAAAAGAGAAAUGUUGUUGCACCAAGGAUGACAAGAGGAUCUGUGUAGCACCAAAAGAUGAACAUUGUUGCGACGAGAAGUGCGGAGAAUGCCCGGAUCCCUCCUGCCUUGAAUGUGAUCACCACUCCAAGACUUGCAAGUGUGACUGUGACUGCUGUGAAAAAGAGAAAUGUUGCUGCACCAAGGAUGACAAGGGGAGGGG